UCGGUGCUAAGAUGGACGCUCUACAGGCGAGGGAGCGGCUCCGGAGGAGGUACCUGUUCCAGCGGGACGCGGUGGUCCAGCUGGACCGCGAGGGCUACGCCGGGCCGGAAACCUCUACACCUGUUGAGAAAAAGGAGAAACCUCUUCCAAGACUUAAUAUCCAUUCUGGAUUCUGGAUUCUGGCAUCCAUUGCUGUGACUUAUUAUGUUGAUUUCUUUCAAACCGUUAAAGAAAACUUUCACACCAGUAGUUGGUUUCUGUUUGGCGGUGCCUUGUUGCUUGUUAGCUUAUCGAUUGCAUUUUACUGCAUAGUCUAUCUGGAAUGGUAUUGUGGAAUUGAAGAUUAUGAUAUCAAGUAUCCAACGUUGAUACCUAUUACAACUGCUACUUUUAUUGUAGCAGGAAUUUGCUUCAAUGUUGCUUUAUGGCAUGUGUGGUCAUUUUUCACUCCACUGCUGUUGUUUACCCAGUUUAUGGGGGUUGUAAUGUUGAUCUCACUCCUUGGAUGAUUUCUAAAGGAAUCCCUGAAGUUUCAUCCCAUUACAGCAUCAGGUUCAGGCUUGAGCUCCCGGAUCUCAUCAUCUAAAUCAAUAAAAGGUGCCUCAUCAGGUGCAAGGUCCUCUCAGUCUGCACACCUUUAAAGAACUGGAUUAUCUGACAUUCUACACAAUAUCAUACUGGGCCACUACACUGAUGAUCUACAGUCAUUGGAUCUGAUGAGCAGGAAGCAGCCAGUACUUUAGAUGUCUUAUCUGAAACAGGGUGGAUGAGAAAACCUACUAAAAUUCAGGAGGCUAUAACUUUGGUGAAGUCUUUGGGGGUUCAGUGAUCUUGAACGUGUUGGCAUAUCACCUCCAAGAUGAAAGACAAGAUGCUGCUCCUUGUGCUUCCUCCAUUAAAAAAGAGGCAAAUCCUUAUAGGGAUUUCUGGACGUUGGAGGCAACAUAGACUACAUCUAAGUGUGUUACUUUGACCUAUUUACUGAGGAACUCGGGAGGCUGCCCAUUUUGAGUGGGUGUUGGAGCAAGAGAAGGCUCGGAAGCAUCUCCAGCCUGUAGUGCACACAUUCUCCCACUUGGAUCUUAUAACCCAACAAAGCCAAUGGCACUUGAAGUGUUUGUGGCAAAUAGUGGUCUUAUGUUGGAGACUCUAGCACAAACCACUAGGAGGGUCACAGCACAGACCACAAGGAUUUUAGAGCAAAUCCAUACCUUCUUCUGUAGAUAAUUAUUUCCCUUUUGAGAAAUAACUUCUCACUUGCUACUAGGCCCUAGUAGAGACUGAAUGUCCAUCUAUUGCAUGGACUGGAGUCAUCUGACCCACCAAACCACAAGGUUGGGCAUGCCCAGCAGUGAUAUAUUGUUGAGUAGGAAUGAUGUAGACGACUUGAACUUGAGCAGGGUUGAAAGCCAUGAAUAAGUUGCAUGCACAGGUGGCUCAGGUUCCUUUGAAACCACUCCUCCUGCAUUGUCUCCUUUCCUUUAAUUCACACCUGUGGUCUCAUGGGGUUUUUUUCAUGACUGAUGAGAAAAAGCUCAGACUUAGUUUACAGGUGGCUCUAUGUGAUAUGACAACACCAACCAUCAUGAUAUGAUGUCCAACCAUGUGGACAGCUGCAGCAUUACAGCCCCACCCAAAGGGAUCCCUGAAGGGAAGGGUGGAAAAGGAAAAUCUUCCCAGUGGGCAGAGUGUUGAGUGGUACAUAGGGUUGUUCACUUUGUCUGGAUUUAGAGACGUCCAGAGUACAAAUAUACAUGAACUCAUGGAUGGUUGCUAACAGGCUACCAGUUUGUCUAGAUAUUCAGUGACUUGGAAAUAAAAUCUGAAGAUUGGUUACAAGGAGGUUUGGGGGGAAAGUGUGUGGAUGGACCUCUCAGAAUGGAUUCAGGGUAUGAAGAUUUGCAUCUCAUGUGAAUGCUCACCAGCGGUGUCCCCUACAGAGGAGCGGGAUGACAUGGCUGUUCUGUGGGAGUCCGUCAGCCUUGUGGCCUGGCCACCCCAGUGCUUGCUCUACAGGCCCAGGUACAAGGUACACGGGGGCAGGGAUGGAGGCCAGGCAUGUGCUCGGCAACACAGAAAUCUCUCCAAGGCUGAUGUGGUUAACAGAGUGCUGAGUGCAGAACCUGCUGUGAUGAUCUGAAAAAAUAAAAUUUUGGAAACGUCUUCCAUUGAGAGGGGGAAAUCUUUAUCCCCUUCCCUUGAAUCUGGGCGGGCUUAUGACAGCUUUCACCAACAUAGGAUGCCGUAAAUGAUGCUAUGUGGCUUCUCAGGCUAGGUCGUAAAGGCC